GGGGGGGGCAAGCGUUGUUCGGAUUUACUGGGCGUAAAGGGCUCGUAGGCGGCCACCUAAGUCGGUUGUGAAAUCCCUCGGCUCAACCGGGGAACUGCGAUCGAUACUGGGUGGCUUGAAGCCGGGAGAGGGAUGCGGAAUUUCAGGUGUAGCGGUGAAAUGCGUAGAUAUCUGAAGGAACACCCGUGGCGAAGGCGGCAUCCUGGACCGGUCUUGACGCUGAGGAGCGAAAGCAUGGGGAGCGAACGGGAUUAGAUACCCCGGUAGUCCAUGCCGUAAACGAUGAAUGUUUGGUGUGCGGUAUCGAUCCCUGCCGUGCCGUAGCUAACGCGUUAAACAUUCCGCCUGGGGAGUACGGUCGCAAGGUUGAAACUCAAAGGAAUUGACGGGGGCCCGGACAACCGGUGGAGCAUGUGGUUUAAUUCGACGCAACGCGAAGAACCUUACCAGGCCUUGAAGUGCAAGCCGCAACCGGUGAAAGCCCGACUCCCGCAAGGGGCUUGUAGAGGUGCUGCAUGGCUGUCGUCAGCUCGUGUCGUGAGAUGUUGGGUUAAGUCUCGCAACGAGCGCAACCCCUUUGUUCUGCUGUUGCCAUCAGUUCGGCUGCGCACUCUGGCGAGACUGCCGGUGAUAAACCGGAGGAAGGUGGGGAUGACGUCAAGUCAGCAUGGCCUUUAUGUCUGGGGCUACACACGUGCUACAAUGGCCGGUACAGAGCGCUGCGAUCCCGCAGUCGAGGGGGAGCUAAUCGCACAAAGCCGGUCUCAGUUCGGAUUGUAGGCUGCAACUCGCCUACAUGAAGUUGGAAUCGCUAGUAAUCGCGGAUCAGCAUGCCGMGGUGAAUACGUUCCCGGGCCUU
rnacentral:rRNA from 1 species